rnacentral:rRNA from 1 species
AACUUAAAGGAAUUGACGGGCCCCGCACAAGCAGCGGAGCGUGUGGUUUAAUUCGAUGCUACACGAAGAACCUUACCAGGGUUUGACAUACAAGUAGUAGGGAAAGGAAACUGGACCGACCCUUCGGGGAGCUUGAACAGGUGCUGCAUGGCUGUCGUCAGCUCGUGUCGUGAGAUGUUCGGUUAAGUCCGCUAACGAGCGCAACCCUCGCUGUGUGUUACAAGUGUCACACGGAACUGCCGGUCAUAAACCGGAGGAAGGUGGGGAUGACGUCAAGUCAGCAUGGCCUUUAUAUCCUGGGCUACACACACGCUACAAUGGGAAGGGACAAUAGGUUGCGAAACCGCGAGGUGGAGCCAAUCCAGCAAAACUUCCCUCAGUUCAGAUUGCAGGCUGCAACUCGCCUGCAUGAAGUUGGAGUUGCUAGUAAACGCAGGUCAGCCAUACUGCGUUGAAUACGUUCCCGGGGCUU